rnacentral:ribozyme from 1 species
AGAAAGAAAAAACAUGAAACAAGAAAAAAACAACCCACCACCAACAUUUUUUUGUUUGUUUGCGUGUGUUCGUGUGUGUUUUUUUUAUAAUAAUGAUCAUCAUUCAUCAUCCAUCAUUCAUCAUCCUACUACUUUGUUUUUU